CAAUAGCGUAUAUUAAAGUUGUUGCAGUUAAAAAGCUCGUAGUUGGAUUUGUGGCGUACGGUGUGUUCCGGGCACUUGUUGUCUGAGUAACCUGCUGUUGCCAUCCUUGGGUGGAACCUGUGUGGCAUUAGGUUGUCGUGCAGGGGAUGCCCAUCAUUUACUGUGAAAAAAUUAGAGUGUUCAAAGCAGGCUUAUGCCGUUGAAUAUAUUAGCAUGGAAUAAUGAGAUAGGACUUUUUUGCUAUUUUGUUGGUUUGCGCAAAGAGGUAAUGAUUAAUAGGGACAGUUGGGGGUAUUCGCAUUCCAUAGUCAGAGGUGAAAUUCUUGGAUUUUUGGAAGACGAACUACUGCGAAAGCAUUUACCAAGGAUGUUUUCAUUAA
rnacentral:rRNA from 1 species